rnacentral:rRNA from 1 species
CGGCGGACGGGUGAGUAACGCGUGGGCAACCUGCCUUCCACUGGGGGAUAACACAGGGAGACCUGUGCUAAUACCGCAUGACAUCACAUAGGGCAUCCUGUGUGAUCAAAGGAGUGAUCCGGUGGAAGAUGGGCCCGCGUCCGAUUAGCUAGUUGGUGAGGUAACGGCUCACCAAGGCGACGAUCGGUAGCCGGACUGAGAGGUUGGCCGGCCACAUUGGGACUGAGACACGGCCCAGACUCCUACGGGAGGCAGCAGUGGGGAAUAUUGCGCAAUGGGGGGAACCCUGACGCAGCGACGCCGCGUGAAGGAAGAAGGCCUUCGGGUUGUAAACUUCUUUGAUGAGGGACGAAGGAAGUGACGGUACCUCAAAAACAAGCCACGGCUAACUACGUGCCAGCAGCCGCGGUAAUACGUAGGUGGCGAGCGUUGUCCGGAAUUACUGGGUGUA